AACGAACGCUGGCGGCAGGCUUAACACAUGCAAGUCGAACGCACCUUCGGGUGAGUGGCAGACGGGUGAGUAACGCGUGGGAACCUUCCCUGUGGUAUGGAAUAGCUCCGGGAAACUGGAAUUAAUACCGUAUACGCCCUUUUGGGGAAAGAUUUAUCGCCAUAGGAUGGGCCCGCGUCGGAUUAGCUAGUUGGUGAGGUAAUGGCUCACCAAGGCAACGAUCCGUAGCUGGUCUUAGAGGAUGAUCAGCCACACUGGGACUGAGACACGGCCCAGACUCCUACGGGAGGCAGCAGUGGGGAAUAUUGGACAAUGGGCGCAAGCCUGAUCCAGCCAUGCCGCGUGAGUGACGAAGGCCUUAGGGUUGUAAAGCUCUUUUGGCGGGGACGAUAAUGACGGUACCCGCAGAAUAAGCCCCGGCUAACUCCGUG
rnacentral:rRNA from 1 species